UUGUUAUCUGCGAUAUGGAAGAUUCGAACCUGCCGCAGGUCCGGGUCUCACGCAGUGAGACAACGGAGCCGUUUACGGCGACGGCCCGAAGGGCGAGCGAAGCGAGUCAUCCUGCACGACCCACCA
rnacentral:sRNA from 1 species